UACGUAGGGUGCUAGCGUUGUCCGGAUUUAUUGGGCGUAAAGGGCUCGUAGGCGGCUUGUUGCGUCGACCGUGAAAACCCGGGGCUCAACUUCGGGCUUGCGGUCGAUACGGGCGGGCUAGAGUUCGGUAGGGGAGACUGGAAUUCUUGGUGUAGCAGUGAAAUGCGUAGAUAUCAAGAGGAACACCAGUGGCGAAGGCGGCCUUCUGGGCCUAUCCUGACGCUGAGACGCGAAGGCCAGGGUAGCGAACGGG
rnacentral:rRNA from 1 species